rnacentral:rRNA from 1 species
AUUCUGGCUCAGGAUGAACGCUAGCUACAGGCUUAACACAUGCAAGUCGAGGGGCAGCAGGAAUCUAGCUUGCUAGAUUGCUGGCGACCGGCGCACGGGUGAGUAACGCGUAUCCAACCUUCCCCAUAGUAGAGGAUAGCCCGGCGAAAGUCGGAUUAAUACUCUAUGUUGUAUUUUGAGGACAUCUGACGAAUACCAAAGAUUGAUCGCUAUGGGAUGGGGAUGCGUCUGAUUAGGUUGUGGCGGGUAACGGCCCACCAAGCCGACGAUCAGUAGGGGUUCUGAGAGGAAGGUCCCCCACAUUGGUACUGAGACACGGACCAAACUCCUACGGGAGGCAGCAGUGAGGAAUAUUGGUCAAUGGGCGAGAGCCUGAACCAGCCAAGUAGCGUGCAAGGAUGACUGCCCUAUGGGUUAGUAAACUGUCUUUUAUAGGGGAAUAAAGUCCACUACGUGUAGUGGUUUGUAUGUACCCUAUGAAUAAGGACCGGCUAAUUCCGUGCCAGCAGCAGC